rnacentral:rRNA from 1 species
AGAAUCAACGCUGGCGGCGUGCCUAACACAUGCAAGUCGCACGAGAAAGGGGCUUCGGCUCUGAGUAAAGUGGCGCACGGGUGAGUAACACGUGAAUAAUCUACCUCCGAGUGGGGAAUAACUGAGAGAAAUCUUAGCUAAUACCGCAUAACACUUACGAGUCAAAGCAGCAAUGCGCUUGGAGAGGAGUUCGCGGCCGAUUAGUUAGUUGGCGGGGUAAUGGCCCACCAAGACGAUGAUCGGUAUCCGGCCUGAGAGGGCGCACGGACACACUGGAACUGAAACACGGUCCAGACUCCUACGGGAGGCAGCAGUGGGGAAUUUUGCGCAAUGGGGGAACCCUGACGCAGCAACGCCGCGUGGAGGAUGAAAUAUCUUGGUAUGUAAACUCCUUUCGAUGGGGAAGAUAAUGACGGUACCAUAGAAGAAGCCCGGCUAACUUCGCGCCAGCACGCCGC